rnacentral:rRNA from 1 species
UACGAAGGGUGCAAGCGUUAAUCGGAAUUACUGGGCGUAAAGGGCUCGUAGGCGGUUUGUCGCGUCGGGAGUGAAAACUCACAGCUUAACUGUGGGCGUGCGGGCGAUACGGGCAGACUUGAGUACUGCAGGGGAGACUGGAAUUCCUGGUGUAGCGGUGGAAUGCGCAGAUAUCAGGAGGAACACCGGUGGCGAAGGCGGGUCUCUGGACCAGUACUGACGCUGAGGCACGAAAGCGUGGGGAGCAAACAGG